UGCCUAAAAUUGUUUUUUAUUCCACCUAGGCUGACCAACUUCUUCACAACAGCACGUUGGCUCCCGUGUUUUCAUCUUGUCAUUCUGUUAAUUACAGUGCAGGCCCCCAAAACGUUACAAAAGCAGUGAUCAGCUGUGGGUUCAAGAAUGACACGUCUCUGCCUCAAUUCAACAAAUACAUCAUCUAUGACUUGCUUCAAAAUAAAACCCAAAACGGCACCAACUUGGGACCGUAUACAAUGGAGCCUAACAGCCUCUAUGUGAA